GUUCCGUUUGUGCCCCUCCCGGCCCGUCUCUGAAACACGUGACUCCGUCUUUUCCUGACCCCCCUGGAAGGGGGAGGAGGGAAGGAAGGGAACGCGAAAGAGAGAAAGAAACCGAUAUGUCACGGAGUUCCCGCGAGAUGUGACGGGAGCCGGGGGGGGGACCCGGGCUUUAAUGUGCGGCUCGGCCGGCGGUCGUGAGGGGUAACACAAGGACCUGUAGAAUAUGAGUGAUGACAAACCCUUUUUAUGUACUGCCCCUGGAUGUGGACAGCGUUUUACCAACGAGGAUCAUUUGGCUGUCCAUAAACAUAAACAUGAGAUGACACUGAAAUUUGGUCCAGCUCGUAAUGACAGUGUCAUUG